AUCCUCUCAUGUUAAAAGUUCUCUGCCAAGUGGUGUCGCUAUGCGGCACGCCGGUAGAAAUCGGCACAAACCGGCGGCGUGCCGCAUAGCGACACCACUUGGUAGAGAACUUUUAACAUGAGAGGAU
rnacentral:pre_miRNA from 1 species